rnacentral:rRNA from 1 species
AACGAACGCUGGCGGCAGGCCUAACACAUGCAAGUCGAGCGAGGACUUCGGUUCUAGCGGCGGACGGGUGAGUAACGCGUGGGAAUGUGCCCUUCUCUACGGAAUAGCCCUAGGAAACUGGGAGUAAUACCGUAUACGCCCUUUUGGGGAAAGAUUUAUCGGAGAAGGAUCAGCCCGCGUUGGAUUAGGUAGUUGGUGGGGUAAUGGCCUACCAAGCCGACGAUCCAUAGCUGGUUUGAGAGGAUGAUCAGCCACACUGGGACUGAGACACGGCCCGGACCCCGACGGGAGGCAGCAGGGGGGAAUCUUAGACACGGGGGGCAACCCUAAUCUCGCCAGGCCGGGGGAGUGAGGAAGGCCUUAGGUUUGAAAAGCUUUUUAAGCGGGGAAGAUAAUGCCGGAACAAGCAGAAGAAGCCCCGGCUACCUCCGU